GGGGAGCAGAGCUGCGCUGCAAGGUGUCUCUAGGUCUCCAGUAAUCUGCGGUGCUGAGCCAGUGGUCGAAUGUGCUGAAACUGGCAGUGGGAUUUCUGGUGGUACCCCUGGUAUCCAGCGUGUCCUGUCAGAUGUGGUACUUACCCCUCAGAAGGCGGAUAGAGAGUUGGAGACUCCUCAGUAUCUAAAGAAAGGCAGUGAUCUAGAGUUUGUUCUCACCCCACAAGCAAGGCGGGACUUCCCUGGUGACAGACACCCAGUGGGCAUUAUCCUCGGGAGUAAAUUCCUCUCCUCUCUAUAAGCAGCAGUAAAUGCAGCAACUACACAGACAGGAUUCCGGCUGGCCAGCAUAACUGGAGUGAGUUUUCAGACAAGUUACCAGACAUCAGCAUGCCGGUUGGAGGAGCUAGUUUAUCCAUGGUUACUCACUGUUUGAAGAUAGGAGCACACGGCAGGUUUUGCAGACACAGAGUAUCACAGCCACAGACUUCUGCAAGAUUCUUUCACACUCUGAGAGCACUAGCAGUCCAAGUUAAACUUCUUCUGACACCAUGUUUUGUUCAUACGUUUGUAAAUCCAGUCAUCAGGACACAGAGACAUGUGAUAAGAGACAUAUCCUGCAUUAGAGAAGCUAAUGCUGCAAACAUGCGAUGGCAUAUAAGGAGCAAUCAGUAAAGUCUGAUGGCAUAAAAGAGAGCUAAUUGUAUAACCACACUUGGAUACCCUUGUUCCAGAAAAGAUAGAACCAUAUCAUUUGAUUGCCGCUCAAAAAUUUCAUCAGAGGAACAGUUACGUCGAAGUCUAAUAAACUGAC